rnacentral:rRNA from 1 species
GCUCAGGACGAACGCUGGCGGUAUGCUUAACACAUGCAAGUCGAACGAGAAGGAAGAGCUUGCUCUUCCUGAAAGUGGCGAACGGGUGAGUAACGCGUGGGUAACCUACCCUUUGGAAAGGAAUAGCCUCGGGAAACUGGGAGUAAUGCCUUAUAAGAUACGUUUGUCGCAUGGCAUUUGUAUCAAACGCUCCGGCGCCAUAGGGUGGACCCGCGUCCCAUUAGCUAGUUGGUGAGAUAACAGCUCACCAAGGCCACGAUGGGUAACCGGUCUGAGAGGGCGAACGGUCACACUGGAACUGAGACACGGUCCAGACUCCUACGGGAGGCAGCAGUGGGGAAUAUUGCGCAAUGGGGGCAACCCUGACGCAGCAAUACCGCGUGAGUGAAGAAGAUUUUCGGAUCGUAAAGCUCUGUUAUUGGGGAAGAAAAAAAGACGGUACCCAAGAAGAAAGUUCCGGCUAACUACGUGCCAGCAGCCGCGGUAAUACGUAGGGAACAAGCGUUGUCCGGAUUUACUGGGCGUAAAGGGCACGCAGGCGGUUUUUUAAGUCAGAUGUGAAAGGCCACAGCUCAACUGUGGACAUGCAUUUGAAACUGAAAGACUUGAGUAUUGGAGAGGCAAGUGGAAUUCCUAGUGUAGCGGUGAAAUGCGUAGACAUUAGGAGGAACACCGGUGGCGAAGGCGGCUUGCUGGACAAAUAC